rnacentral:lncRNA from 1 species
AGGGGUCCCCUGCAGCAGGGGUCUGAGGACAGAGACCCGCGGUGAGGUAGGGGAGAUGAGGGUGAGGGUAGGGGGUCUAGAGGGUGGCCCAUUGGAGGUGAGAAGAAAAUAUUUGCUCAAUAUUACUAUAAUCUGCACUUAUUUAUGGUUUAAAAAAUCUUAAUGAAUUAGGAAUAGAAUGAAACAUCAUAAACAUGUUAAAGGAUGCCCAGCAACAAAUCAAUAGCAAAUAUUAUAUUUAAUGAUGAAGCUUAGAUCAAUUUCCACUAAAAUAUGAACAAAACGAGGCUUAAUGGUCUUUCCACUUUUAUUCCAUUUUCUACUGAGGUGUCCUAACUGAUGUAAUAAUAUCAGUAAAAGUAAAAAACUAAAAAUAAGAUAUAUGAGGGCUAGAGAGAUUUUUUCAUUACUUGUAGGUAGUAAGAUUCUCUAAAUAGAAAAUUCAAAGUCCAUUAGGAUUUAUAAGAAAAUAAAAACAAAUCCAUAUCAAUGACAUUUCUAUACAGCAGGGGUAGUAGUUAGAGAAUCGAAUGGCCCCAAACUCCUGGCCUCAAGCAAUCCUCCCACCUUGGCUUCUCAAAGAGCUAGGACUAACAGUCGCCGUGGAGAGCAGUUUGAGGAUAUCUCAAAUAACUAGGAAUGGAACUACCAUUUGACCCAGGAGUCCUAUUACUGGGUAUAUAUCCAGGGAAAAUAAAUCAUUCUAGUCAAGAACACACACACUUGGAUGAUCAUUGCAGCACUAUUGACAAUAGAAAAGACAUGGAAUCAACCUCGUUGCCCAUCAACAGUGAACCAAAUAAAGAAAAUGUGGUCCAUAUACACCAUGGAAGACUACACAGCCAUAAAAAAGAAUGAACUCAUGUCCUUUGCAGCAACAUGGAUGCAGCUGGAGGCCAUUAUCUUACGUAAACUAAUGUAGAAACUGAACACCAAAUACCACAUAUUCUCACUUAUAAGUGGGAGCUAAAUAUUAGGUACACAUCUUCCCAUAAAGAUGGCAACAGUAGACGCUGGGGACCACUGAGGGUGGAGAGGAGGGGGAUGGGGCUGAAAAACUACCUGUUGGGUACCAUGCUCCCUACCUGGGUGAGGGGCUCAGUCUUACUCCAAACCUCAAUGCCACACAAUAUUCCUUGGUAACAAACCUACACAUGUACCCCCAAUUCUAAAAUAAAAAUGGAAAUAGAAAAAGCAGUGUAUAGGCCGGGCGCGGUGGCUCACGCCUGUAAUCCCAGCACUUUGGGAGGCCCAGGCGGGUGGAUCACAAGGUCAGGAGAUCAAAACCAUCCUGGCUAACAUGGUGAAACCCUGUCUCUACUAAAAAUACAAAAAAUUAGCCGGGCGCCUGUAAUCCCAGCUACUUUGGAGGCUGAGGCAGGAGAAUGGCGUGAACCUGGGAGGCAGAGCUUGCAGUGAGCUGAGAUGGUGCCACUGCCCUCCAGCCUGGUGACAGAGUGAGACUCCGUCAAAAAAAAAAAAAAAAAAAGAAAAGAAAAAAGAAAAAGAAGUGUAUAAAGGUGUGGGCAAAUGAGAGGGAUGAAGCACCCCAGGAAGCCACUGCCACUCCCAGGAUGGGAGGUCAAGGGGUGGAGAGAGCCCUGUGUGGGAGAUGGGAGGUGCCUUGCGGGAGCUGAUGUCAUGGGUAGAGGAGCACAGUUGCUGACAAACCACAGCCUGGCAGGGCAUAUGUGUGGGAAUUGAUUCCCCGGCCUCUCUCUCCUCUCACCCUCUGCUCUCCUGACAGUGCCUCCAUGGUUGAACUCAAUCAGACGCUAAAGGCAAGGAGACACUGAUGAUGCAAUCCAUAGAGUCAGCCUCCAGGGCACAGACAAGGUGGGAAAGGACAGAGGGUGUAUUAGGAGUUCAGCACUUUGGGAGGCUGAGGUGGGAGGAUUACGAGGUUAGGAGUUCGAGACCA